AUAAACCCGGGAAACUGGGUAUAAUACCCGAUAGAUCUCGAAUGCUGGAAUGCAUCGAGAUCCAAAGCUCCGGCGCUCAAGGAUGGGUCUGCGGCCUAUCAGGUAGUAGUGGGUGUAGCGUACCUACUAGCCUACGACGGGUACGGGUUGUGAGAGCAAGAGCCCGGAGAUGGAUUCUGAGACACGAAUCCAGGCCCUACGGGGUGCAGCAGGCGCGAAAACUUUACAAUGCUGGAAACAGCGAUAAGGGGACCUCGAGUGCCAGGUUACAAAUCUGGCUGUCGUGAUGCCUAAAAAGCAUUGCAUAGCAAGGGCCGGGCAAGACCGGUGCCAGCCGCCGCGGUAACACCGGCGGCUCGAGUGGUAACCGUUAUUAUUGGGUCUAAAGGGUCUGUAGCCGGCCGGAUAAGUCUCUUGGGAAAUCUGGCAGCUUAACUGUCAGGCUUUCAGGAGAUACUGUCUGGCUCGAGGCCGGGAGAGGUGAGAGGUACUUCAGGGGUAGGGGUGAAAUCUUGUAAUCCUUGAAGGACCACCAGUGGCGAAGGCGUCUCACCAGAACGGACCUGACGGCAAGGGACGAAAGCUAGGGGCCGAACCGGAUUAGAUACGCCGGGUAGUCCUAGCGUGCGAUACUCGCUAGGUGUCGGCCACGGUGCGACCGUUGUCGGUGCCGUAGGGAAGCCGUGAAGCGAGCCACCUGGGAAGU
rnacentral:rRNA from 1 species